CUGAUGGAGCAACGCCGCGUGUGUGAUGAAGGCUUUAGGGUCGUAAAGCACUGUUGUAUGGGAAGAAAUGCUAGAAUAGGGAAUGAUUCUAGUUUGACGGUACCAUACCAGAAAGGGACGGCUAAAUACGUGCCAGCAGCCGCGGUAAUACGUAGGUCCCGAGCGUUAUCCGGAUUUAUUGGGCGUAAAGCGAGCGCAGACGGUUGAUUAAGUCUGAUGUGAAAUCCCGGAGCUCAACUCCGGAAUGGCAUUGGAAACUCGUUAACUUGAGUGUUGUAGAGGUAAGUGGAACUCCAUGUGUAGCGGUGGAAUGCGUAGAUAUAUGGAAGAACACCAGUGGCGAAGGCGGCUUCCUGGACGGCAACUGCCGUGAGCAGCAGUGCAC
rnacentral:rRNA from 1 species